GAUUGAUUCUGCAGGUUGGGCUCCCAUUUGGUUUCUGCUAACCCUAAGAUUCUUUUCUCUCUAACUCGUCUCUCCUUCCCCUUCAUCCUUUUUCUCUCUCAAGGUCUGUAGCCAUCUCCCAUGGCGGAUGAAACACUUUCGGAACCACCAUCAAACUCGUCUCUCCUUCCCCUUCAUCCUUUUUCUCUCUCAAGGUUUGUAGCCAUCUCCCAUGGCGGAUGAAACACUGUCGGAACCACCAUCAAACAAAAUGAUAUUCAUAUGAAUUAUCGGUUUUACUUAUGAUCUUGGUUCAACGAUUUAAAUUCAUGCGUUUAUGUGUUCUUAGUUCAACAGAUUUUAAUUUAUCAGGGUUUGCAAUGAGAAUGCGUGUUGGUAUGAACGACGGUUGAAAUUUUCUUCUUCACAACGCGUACUCCUUCUGAAUCUCUCUCACUACCAAUUCGUCUCUUUCUCACUGGGUUUAAUCGAGGGUUUGGAAUCAAAAGAUUGGAUUAAGGUCUGUGAACAUUGAAUGAUAUUAGGAGCUUGGCUAUUCAUCAGUCAAUCUUUUUCUUCCAUGAGAACCGGUUGUUGUGGUGUUGGUGAGGGCUAUGAAAAACCCAAGAAGUAGCUGUUGAUGCUGCUGAUUUAUUCGUAGCGUAUCGUGACUGCUACCUGAUUUCUCUUGUUGUUUUGACAAUUUGAAGAAGGAUGCAUCAUUACAGACUCAGUCCCGUACACCUUCUUUCUCGAGGCCCAAUUCUUGCCAAAAGAUGCUCUCCCUAAAUGGUUCUUUGAGGCGUCCGGUGCUUGACUUAAAUCCAUUUGAGCUACUAGAUGGCUUGUUUAAAGAAUGUCAUCGCCAUGGUGAAGUGUUGGUAUCUGAGGGAUACUUUAUGUGAAGGAAAUUGAAUAUGCAAAGUCAAGAAAAGAAAACCAGGGUGAUUUUAAGCAUUGGUUUACCUGCUUUGGUUUGUUGUUAAGUGAUAAAGCCAAAAUAACUAGCACGAACAGACCAACAAAUACAUUCUUUGACUGGUUUCUCAGCCGCUUUGGCUUAUGAAAGAACAUAAGAAAGUAGACAACUUUCACAGGCGUUAAGGAAAAUUACCUUAACAAAUCAGUUUUACUGAACAGAGAUCUUGAGAGACUUUGAAGUUCUUGCACUGUAAGUCCGUGACGCCCUGAAGUUAAAAACGAGAAGAACUUGAGGCACUCGCACGAAAGUAAUAGAAUGUCAAGUGAUUCUGAAAUGAUAUCUUAAUUUAAAAUCCGAACUUAAAAAGUCAUUAGUCAGUCGACUAAAUAGAGAUAUAUUGGAAUCCCUUUGUACCUCCUGCUAUUUUCUCUUUGAAAGUGUUAAUAGUGUCACUCAAAAGAGUAUUUCUAGAAGUUUGCCCUGUAUCUUUUGAUAAAAAAAAACUACUUGACUUUGAUCCUAUAUGAUCAUAGGUGGUGGUCAGUUUUAUUUUAGUUUUUGUUUGUCAACUCUUUAUAAAUUGUGUUUUUUGUGUGCUUUA